rnacentral:rRNA from 1 species
GAGAAACGCUGGCGGCGCACAUAAGACAUGCAAGUCGAACGGAACUUUAUGAAAUGUUUACAUCGAUUAAAGUUUAGUGGCGGACGGGUGAGUAACACGUGAGCAACCUGCCUUUAAGAGGGGGAUAACAUUGAGAAAUCAGUGCUAAUACCGCAUAAUGCAAUUUUGCUGCAUGGCGAAAUUGCCAAAGGAGAAAUCCGCUUAAAGAUGGGCUCGCGGCUGAUUAGCUAGUUGGUGGGGUAAUGGCCUACCAAGGCGACGAUCAGUAGCCGAGCUGAGAGGCUCAACGGCCACAUUGGGACUGAGACACGGCCCAGACUCCUACGGGAGGCAGCAGUCGGGAAUAUUGCACAAUGGAGGAAACUACUGAUGCAGUGACGCCGCGUACAGGAAGAAGGUCUUUGGAUUGUAAACUGUUGUCGAAGGGAGAAAAAGACAGUACCUUGGAGAGCUCGGCAAACUACGU